GUCCCCAUCGUCUAGCCAGGCCCAGGACACCAGAUUUUCAAUCUGGCGACACGGGUUCGAAUCCCGUUGGGGACGCCU
rnacentral:tRNA from 1 species